rnacentral:rRNA from 1 species
UACAGAGGUCCCAAGCGUUGUUCGGAUUCACUGGGCGUAAAGGGUGCGUAGGCGGUCGGGUAAGUCUGAUGUGAAAUCCCACAGCUUAACUGUGAAACUGCAUUGGAUACUAUCCGGCUCGAGGAAUGGAGGGGAGACUGGAAUACUUGGUGUAGCAGUGAAAUGCGUAGAUAUCAAGUGGAACACCAGUGGCGAAGGCGGGUCUCUGGACAGUUCCUGACACUGAGGCACGAAGGCCAGGGGAGCAAACGGG